UACGAAGGGUGCAAGCGUUACUCGGAAUUACUGGGCGUAAAGCGUGCGUAGGCGGUUUGUUAAGUCUGUCGUGAAAGCCCCGGGCUCAACCUGGGAAUGGCGAUGGAUACUGGCGAGCUAGGGUACGGUAGAGGAGAGUGGAAUUCCCGGUGUAGCAGUGAAAUGCGUAGAGAUCGGGAGGAACAUCAGUUGCGAAGGCGGCUCUCUGGACCAGUACUGACGCUGAGGCACGAAAGCGUGGGGAGCAAACAGG
rnacentral:rRNA from 1 species